CAAAUGGUCAGGUUUGGAAAUCUCAGUUUUUGUUACUAUGCAUUUGUACAAAAGUUCUAGGUGAUGUUAAUUCCCUCUUGAAAUUUAACGACAGCAUAGAACUGGGUCCCCCGGCUGCCGCCUAUGUGCCGUCUCUUCCCCAUCUCCUCUCAUCUCUUCUACAUCAUCCUAUUGUUCCAAGCGGAGUGGAAAAUGAAGUAGAUGACAGCUUGUUUUCAGACAUGGAGGAAGAAGAUGAGUAUGAUCAAUUACCUGCAAUCCGAAUCCUGACAAAAGCCCAGUUUGAGAGGUUGACAAAAUCACAGAAAACAGUUAGCUCUGUGCAUUCUUGUAUAGUUGCAUACUCAUCAUUUCCCACGAAGGGCUGCUGCUUAAUAUAUCUAAGGUUCUUCGUAGUCUGGUCAAUCAUAUGUGGAGGUGUGUGUGAGAAAUAGUACUGACGUUCGAGCAUUACUGGCUCAGCUAGAUGUUAUUCGAUUUGCUUGGGUCUUUGGAUUGUGGGGGGUGGUUUUAUAAGAGACGGAUGUCUGUGCGACAUUCCUUCUUUAUUCAGGCAUUGAGUUUUCUAGUUCUUUUUUUCGAUUCAUUCUGGCUUGUUGACGGUCUGAACACGUAUACUUGGAAAAGCAAAAUGGGAUAAUGACCAUUUGAACUAAAAGAAGGAUGUCAAUGCCCAUUCCAACCAAAAAAAGUUUUUAACAGCCCAUUCAAACAGUUCAUAACGAAAAGAUAAAAUUGCCCUAAAUUAAUAACUUUCUCCUUGUAGGAUGGCAAGCAAAGUUGCUAGUCUGAGUGACAAACAUGAAAUGCAUAAGCAUGAACUACUUGAUGCAUAUGAGAUCUGUUAGGUUCUUCGUUCUUCACUUGUGCAGUCUUUGCUAUCAGGCUACAACAUGUAGCAUGUAUCCUUGUGUUUUGAUCAUAAAGGGAUAACCAACAAUUCUUAUACCAACACAAUUUGUUUUGUUGUCAGUAAUUCACUCAACAUGUUUUUGAUUACUCAAUUUUCCAAUGCCUCAGAUACUUAGACAUGAUUAUAAACUAGACGCCCGAGUUCCUUACCCUUUUCUUAUGUCAUUAAUGAUGAGACAUUGGUAAAACAAUUCUGGUAAUUCCUAUGUUUUCACAUAGCAUUAGAAUUCCCUAACCACUUUUCUGUUAAAAACCUUCCCAAUGUAAAGUAUGCAACUCCACUUAUCUGUGCAAGUUCAGUAGUUUUGUUCUAAAUCAGUAUUUACAAGAUCUUCAUCAUAUAUUUCCAUUACUUGAUCUGAUCUUCUAGCUGAGUGUUGAAGCUCUUUCUAGGUCACUCAAGUUGGAAGCUCUUGUAAAAUGUAAAGCAAAUGAAAAGCCAUCAAUUGAAGAAGUCAUGGUAUACAUGUAUAUAUGUACGCAUGUCAUGGUCCAUGUAUAUAUGUACAUGAAAUGUCUGUAAUUAGUAAAACCUAAAAAUGAAAUUAAGGAACUUAGUUUUUUUUUCUUCUUCUCGAUCUGUUAAGAGUGGGACAUUUUUGGAUGAUCUAACGAACUUAUGUCUUCCUUGUACGGCCACGUCUUUCUCACCAAGCAUGCUCAAAUCCAAUUUUAAAUAUUACCAUAUAGGACAUGACACAGGAUUACAGGGAAAGAAAUAUGUAUAUAUUUUUUGAUGCAACACAAUCCAAUUGCCAUAUCUUGGUUAAUUAAGGGACUAUUUUCCUAGUAAUUUAGGGACAAAAAGCCAAUCAAUCCAAAUAUAUGUUGCCAUAUCUUGGUUAAUUAAAGGAAUAUUUUCGUAGUAAUUUAGGGACAAAAAACCAAUCAAUCCAACAUCUUGCCAUAUCUUGCUCCACCGAGGUAAUAUUUCCCUAUUGUAAUCUAGGAACAUAAUUAUUCGAUAUCUAUAUAAAUCAAAGAUAACAAAAUUAAAGAAAAUAAUAUCAUAAGUUGAAUAGUAAAGCCUCUCUCAAUCUUUCACAGUUGAACCAUACAGAGAAACUGAUCGACCAACAAAACCUAGCUAGCAAAUCAUUGAUGGGAGACGAUAGCUGCAGAGACCGGUCGAUCUACGUAAGGGUAGCGUGCUGCACGGACAACCAUUCAUUUUGCUGGUAUGUGAUUGAGGAGAAACCAUCUGACAAUGACGAGGAGGACGACAACAAUGACAUACUGGAAUGUAAAUCUGAAACUGAUAUAAUCAGAAGACUCUCCAUUCCCGAUUCAGAAUUGCGCUAUAACAGCCUUGCCGUCUUAAACUCUCAUAUAUAUCUGAUUGGUGGAGAUAUUGAUACAGAGAAGAAUGAAGAUGAAGAAAACAUUGGAUAUAGGCACUUAGAACUAGGGCAAAAUCAAUGGCAGCUUGGUGGUGGGAAUUUAUCGUAUAAUCAAUAUGGUACAGCAGCUGUUGGCCACGACGGUUCUAUUUACUCGGUGGGAUGUAACCAAUACCGACUGUCUCCGGACACUGGGAUUCUUCAGAAGUUGCCUCUUCCGCCUCGGCUGAGCCGCGGAAACAAAGACGCGCUAUACCAGUCCCAUCUUCUUGCUCUUACAAAGAGUACACUUUUCAUCUAUAUCAGUCACGGUCCGGAUGAUUCCAAUUUUUUGCUUUCGUAUGAUUUGGCGACAGGCAAGUGGGACGAGGAGUACGAACCCUUCUCGGGUAAAUGGUCUGCUGGUGUGGUGCUUUACAAGGACCGCUACUUGUUUUCUUUUGGAAGUCAGGAUCCCAUGUCACCUGCCGUUACCGCGAGGCGGAAGCCGGUUCGGCUGGUGGUUCCGGGAGUAUAUGUGUUUGAUAUUGAACUGCGACGAUGGCUCCCCGAACCAGUUAAGGGUCUGCGGACUGACGGAACCGUCCUUCCCUAUUCUUUCGAGACAGUUUAUUGCGAGGUAAAAUCCUGCGGUCCAUGUUACUCCCCGUACUUGCUUCAGAUCGGGAAGCAAAACGAUCACAAGUUGGCUUUGUUGUGGGAGUCUCAAUGCGAACACCCCGAUCCUGGUGUGGCUCAGUGUAUGCUCAUUUGGUCCAAGUUCAUACUCAAUCCUGCUCCCGGUUCUUCUGAUCCAAUUCCUCCAUUCUAUGCAAGUUCGCUGUCAAAUGGAAGCUGUGCUCUUGAUGAGUGGACUUACGAGUUGUUCAAUUGCGCAGCAGGAAACUAAGGGCUGCCACCUGAGUUAAUAUUUCAAUUGCUUUACAAGCCAGGAAUGUAUGCAUGAGUUUAGGUAUUGGUUCUUUGCUUUCAUUAUGGUCAGGACUCCAUGAGUUUUUUUUACUUGCUAAAGCAACUGUUUUUUCAAUACGAUGUUUUGCGAAUCAGAUGUGCAUUCGUGAUGUACUUGAUAUACCACUUGUGUGCAUUGUGCCGUAAUCAUGCUUCAUUUUGCCUUGCAUCUCUGGAAACCGGAUCGAUCUUGUUUAGAAAUCACUUUUGUAAAUGUAAUUAAGAGUACAAAAAAAAUAAAAUCCAACAUAAAUUCAAAAACACAAAAAACUGAUUUUGAGGAGUCUAAACGAGCUCGAAUGCCCAAAAAAGACCGUCUUCAUGUUCAAUGUUCUAUGUUACGGAAUCAAAUUUUCCUCUAUUUUGCACAAAUGGCAUGGGGAACAAUUUUAAGGCAUUGCAAGAGACAAAUGCAUCUCAACUCCAUGCACGUAUUGACUAAAAAAAAGAAAUUAUAACAACUUAAAGUUGUUGCAUUUUUGCAGCACUCACUUGUCCCUCAAAAAUUUUCACUUAGGUGAGCAUACAUAUAUUCUACUAUAUAUGCCUUAUUGAUUAUGAACUAUUCCAUCUUAUACGUAACAUGUUUGCUUAUCUAACGGCCGGACAGUUUUAACGAAGAGAUAAAUGCAUCUCAACUUUAUGUACUCAAAUAAAAAACAAAAAUAAUAACAACUUAAGACGUAUUAUGCAUUUGUUUUCAGUCUUUAGAUUCACUUUAUCUCUCAUCAUCUAUGUAUAUAUAUUUUUGCUUUGGUAGGCAAUACAAGAGUAAUACCAGAAAAAGCCAAAUAUUUGAUUUGUUUUUUUAUCUUGUAUAUCAUAUUAAUUUCUUUGCUAUUUGGUGUCAAAUUUCUUUCUUUCUUUAUCACCAUACAGUCAUCUUUCAUCAAACUCAUCAUCAUCAUCCUCUUCUUCUUCCCCAAACCUCUCACACCUGGCCUUUGUUUUGUCGCCCCCUUUUCGUCUCUCAGUCCCCAAUUUCCGAAUCCCUAGAAACCUUGCUGGCCCAACUCCCCAUUCUAGGGUUUCUGAUUCUCUCAUGGCCUUGAUUCUCCUCCAUCUCCAAAGCUCAUAGUACCUGCAGCUAGAUCCCCCAAAUUUUGUACAUCCCAGGUAACCCUCUACUUCUUCUUCAUCAGUUUCAUCUGUAAAUUCUUAAACUUGUGAGUAAUUAUUGGGCUCUGAAAUCACAAGCAGUAAUAAAGUUUGAAUCUUUUUUGUUUUCGGUUCCUGAUUUUUCUUCAAUACUCAAUUGGAUAGAUACCCUUUAGGUUUUAAUGGCUAAGAAACUAACCCAAUUUACCCAACCUGUUUUUUUGGUGAAGUUUAUGGUUGGUGUUGAAUUUUGACUUUUAUGUGCUUAUAGGGUUGGUGAAUGUUGUCAUUGGAGUUGUGGAGUUAUGAUUUAGUUUUGGUUUGCUUAUUGCAGUAGAAUGUGUAGUAUGAGUUUGAUUGGUUCUGAUGUGUGCUAGUGGGUUGUGAAUGUUUUGCAGCAAGGAUGCAGGGUUUUAGAGAUUGGGUUCUUUCUCAGCUGGUAUCCAAGUCUGUGGUCUCGCCGUUAUCAGGAAGUGAUAGUUUCUUCAGUGUGGGGCGUUCGACUAAUGAAGUGCUUACUGACCAAGGUAGUACCUUCCAUCUUAUACUUAAAGAUUGGUUGUUUAGUACUUUAGUUUGACUAUGAAGAAUCGCAUCAGUGUAUAUGACUUCUACUUGAAAGAAUACAGUUUAAUGAAGCAAUUUUUGUAGUUUCAUGUAAAUGUUUAAACAGCAUCUUUUAGUAAUCUGAUUUACAUAUUCAACGAAUCGUAGUUGUAAUGGCUUAAUGCCAGUGAUCCAGUUUAUCAACUCUUGAUGCUGAAACUGUAAACCAAACUCUAUGUAUGAGUUAUUUGACUAGGCAAGAGCUAAUUGUUUGUGACUUUCAGGUGCUUCUGAUUCUACCACUUUGGUAGCCCCGCCCAUCCCAAAUGAAGCUUCCAGCUCGAUGAAUAGGGAUCAGGAAAAUCAGUCUAGCCCUUCCCCACAGCAUGUUGUAGUUGAAAAUUCUGAUCAAUCGCAUAGUGGCUCUGUUAAGAAAAGAAGGAUCCUUUGGCAAAAAUUNNNNNNNNNNNNNNNNNNNNAAUCCUUGUCCUUGGGAAAACAGGAUGGGGAAGAGUGCUACAAUCAAUUCUAUAUUUGAUCAAACAAAAGCGGUAACCAAUGCUUUUCGACCCGGCACAAAGCACAUUCGGGAGGUUGUGGGAACUGUGAAUGGGAUUACAGUAACUGUCAUUGAUACCCCUGGUUUUUUGCCAGGGGUAUGUACAAGUAACUUGUGCCGAAAUAAGAAGAUUAUGCUCUCUGUAAAGAGAUUUAUUAGAAAAAGUCCUCCUGACAUUGUUUUGUUCUUCGAGCGCCUUGAUCUCAUUGAUAAAAGCUAUAGUGAUCUCCCCCUUUUAAGGCUAAUUACUGAAGUUUUUGGGCGCACAAUUUGGUUUAGCACCAUUCUUGUUAUGACUCAUUCUUCCUCAGCCCUUCCAGAUGGACCAGACGGGUACCCUAUCAGCUAUGAAGCACAUGCAAGGCGAAGCACAGAUAUGGUGCAGCACUAUAUACAUCAGGCGGUGUCAGACUCCAGACUUGAAAACCCAGUACUUUUUGUUGAGAAUCAUUCUCAUUGCAAGACAAAUUUCAUGGGGGAAAAGAUACUUCCAAAUGGUCAGGUUUGGAAAUCUCAGUUUUUGUUACUAUGCAUUUGUACAAAAGUUCUAGGUGAUGUUAAUUCCCUCUUGAAAUUUAACGACAGCAUAGAACUGGGUCCCCCGGCUGCCGCCUAUGUGCCGUCUCUUCCCCAUCUCCUCUCAUCUCUUCUACAUCAUCCUAUUGUUCCAAGCGGAGUGGAAACUGAAGUAGAUGACAGCUUGUUUUCAGACAUGGAGGAAGAAGAUGAGUAUGAUCAAUUACCUGCAAUCCGAAUCCUGACAAAAGCCCAGUUUAAGAGGUUGACAAAAUCACAGAAAACAGACUAUCUCAAUGAAUUGGAUUACCGGGAGACCCUUUUUCUGAAGAAACAGUUGAAAGAAGAGUACCGUAGGCAGAUGGAAAGUAAGC
rnacentral:lncRNA from 1 species